AAGAACAAAGGAAGAAAAAGGAAGAACAAACCCUAGGUACACAAAUUCAAGGGAAAAGUGUGAAAAUUCAAGGAAACAAGUUAAAAAAAGUAAGAUUUUUUUCAAUUAAGCUUGAGAUCUAUCUUUCUUAAGCAUUUUUUUCUUAUUUUUCAUGGUUGAAUCACAUGAAAGCAUGGUGAAUCCCUUGCUAGCCGAACACUUAGAGAGAGAUUUUGAUGCUUGAUUUGGUUAGAUUUCAAUGUAUUUUAGUGUUUUUAGUUAGUUAGUAAUGUGUAGCAUGAAAAUCAAGCAAGAAAAAUUCAUUUUCUCCCAUCACCCAUCAUUGGCCGAAUUUUCCAUGUAGAGUGUGGAUGAUGAUUUUGAUUUUAUUUCAAGUGAAUUGGUUCGGAAAUGAUGAAUUACGGUGAGAAAAUCAAGUAGGAAAAAUCAUAGUAUUGAUGCACCCACUAUGGCCGAAAUUCCCAAGAGAAAAUGUGAGAAUGAUUUUUGCCAUAUUUCAAGUUAUUUAAUUUGUGUUUGAUGAUUUGGAGUAUUGGGAGAAAAAUGAAAUUACUUAGAGUUAAAUUGGACAUAUUGACUAAUUAAUCGAGUGAUAGAUCGAAUUAGGCCAAUACCAUUUAAUUUAAGUACACAAUUGAAUUUGUGUAGAACAUCGUGUUUAGACGAUAAUCCAAACAAUUUGCAUUCCAUUUCAUGCAUUAGUAAAGAGCCUGAAAUAGAUUUAUAAUGGUAUGACACAGUAUAUUGAAUUAUGUGUCAUGUAUUGUAUAUAGGUGGUGAGCCCUCUAACAAGGGUAAAGACGUUGUAUCAGAAGACUGAGAAUAGGAGUAUUUCAAACUCCUGAUACUGUGAGUAACCUUACUAUCGUCUUAAUUAUCUAAAGUGGUUUUUAUCCGAUUUUAUGAUUUUAUGGAAAAUGAGUUAAAUGGUAAAUCUUUGUGUUUUAUAACUAAAAUGUGAUUUAAAUGAAAUGAUUUUAUAAAAUCGUCUUGAAUUUGAAUGAUGGUUUUGAAAAUGGAGUAAAUAAAGACUAAUUGCUGUGUUAUAAAUCAUGAUUUGAAUUGAAUGGCUUAUGAUAAUAUUGGCAUGAAUGGUUGAUUUGGUAAAUGUGUUAAAAAUGUAUGAACUGUUAAUUUUCCUUGAGAGGCUGUAAAAUAAAAUAAUUGCCAUGUCAUGCUAUUACAAAUUUUAUUAUAUGGUGGGUUAUAAAUUAGUCGCUACAGUGGACGGGUUCCGUGGACCAGCCUAUUAGAGAGGCACGAUAAUCCUAUUAUAUUCAUACCUCAAUAUGAGAGGCGCGGUUGGAUAACUCUUGAGGGUAACACUUUAGAGUUCACUUCACAUCAAACCACCAUGUAAGGGUGAACUCAGCCAACGCCAAGGAACGACUAUGUUUUCAAAAUAAAAACAUGAUUUAUGCGUACAUAACUUUUUAACAGCCUUGGCGGACUCAGUUGGGAUAGCCCUCGAUCAAGGUAUCCCUAAUAACUGAGUAUGAGAAUGAUUUUGGCACGAGCCAAAGUUUUAAGAAAUUCAUAAGCUGUCACGACCCAAAUUUUCAACCCAUGACCGGCGCAAGGGCCCAAUAAACGUAGUCUAUUAAGCCCAAGCAAGCCUAUUGAUUUAUCCUACUCAUCAUUCCAUCAAAUAUCGCUAAGUCAUAUUUCAUACUUUUGAAUCAAAAUAGUGAUAUACAUUGCCAACUCGUACUGGCAUUACUCCUUAAAAAUUUACAUACAAUGUCUACAACAUUGAUUCUAAUAAUUUACAUUAAGUUUUUCUAUAUAAAACAAAAUAACCCUCGACUUCCAACGGAGGGACUCGAAUGAAUGUACAGCUACUGAAUGCCGAGACACCUACCAAAAGAUGGACACAGGUCUACAAGGACAUCUCGUCCUAGUUACCAGCUGCCUCAUGAUCUGAAAACAUGAAUUUAAAAAUGGUGAUUAUAAACCCAGUGAGUGAACAAGGAAGGGAACAAGCAUACCAUAGGGAAUCUUUAAUGAAAUCAUGAUACAUUCUUUUUCAAAACAAUGCAAUUUGUUUCCAUUCUUAUUAAAAACCCCUCAUCAAGCCUUUAAAUGAUUAAUCAUUUGAAAAUCAUUAACCCAUACAUAGCGAACCAUUUAAAGAAUAAAAGCUUCAAUAUUACACAAGUAAGUCAAAUACGACAACGAAUCUUCGCUGCAGCGGAAAGGCAUUCUCGCUCCAGCAUAGCUGCAACGAGAAUGAAUUUUCGUUGCAGCACGUUGGGAUUUAAUUAUUAACCAAACGAGGGUUUCUCAACUGGCCGAGGAUUUCUCAUUAAACCUCCUCAUUUUAAACUUAACUCAUUUAAUCCUUAAUGUUGGAAGUCCAUGCUCUGAUAUGGUAGCAAUGAAGUGAAAGAUAGGAUAGCAAUUGAACAAGAUAGGAGACCAAAACAGAAAGUUUUUCGCUGAAUCUCGUUGCAACGAAAUUGUAACCCAGAAAUAGAAUGUUUCUCACUGCAGCGAAAUUCAAUCUCCCUGCAGCGAAAUUGCAACCCAAAAACAAAAAGUUUCUCGCUGUAGCAAGAAGCUACAGUGUCAUUCUCGCUGCAGCGAAAAUGCAUCCUUGUUGCAACGAGUUUCUGGCCAACCUACCCUUUCAAAACUCGAGAGUUUCUCGCUGCAGCGAGAAUCAUUCUCGCUACAGCGAAAUAUAAGGCAUCAAAUGAAAAUUUCCCUUUCUCCAAAAGAAAACUGUCCUGCUUGAAAUGUUCAAAACCAAUAUGAAACACAUAACAAUUUCUCAAGGUUUAACAUGUCAAGUUUCACAUGCAUUACAACCAUAAACCAUUAUCCAUCAAUUUCCUAUAGCACACAUAUUUACAUAUGUAUAUAUAUAUAUAUAUAAAUAUAUACGCAUAUACCCAUCAUCAUCAUCACCAGCUCAUGCGCACUCCCUACUCGCACAUGGCUAGGUCAUCACCAGGUUAUGCGCACUCCCUACUCGCACAUAACUGGGUCAUUCUAGACUUAUGCGCACUCCUUACUCGCACAUAGCUUAGUCAAUAUAAUUACACAACAUUAUAUUCAAGCAUAUAUGUAUAUCAACAUAAUGCAGCCACAUAGAAAUCCAUAAUAACCACAUAUCAUAACAUAAAUCAUUUCCCAAUAGCUUGUUCCCAAAACAUUCAUUUUCAUGAAAAAUCGUACAAAAUCAUUCAAACGUUUGUCAAAUACAUUAUAUUCCCAAAAUAAGUUUUGAAGGCAGUCCACUCACCAAAUGAUUGUAGAGCCUUUAGAUGACCUCAAUUCCCUUAAUUGUCCAAAUGGGAUGAUGGGGCUUCCUUAAAACCUAGGAUCACAUUAACAUAAACAAUAGAUCAAUUUACACACUAUGAACUCUAAAAGCUAUCUCUUAGCUAGUUUUCAAUUGCCACAUUAAACGGCUAUCUAUGUUCACUAUCUUAAUCACUAAAAAGUAAUGAACAUAGUCAACAAUAAAACAGCUCAUAAAUCCCAAUUACUAGCCAUUUUCUGCAGCUAAAAAUCGAGCUUAGUUCAUUACUUACCCUAGGGCUCCUUUGUAGUCAAAUUCUCUUCCAAUUGCUUCCAAAUCAAUGAAGUAAUUCUCUCUUUCUCUCUCUAGAAUGCCCAACUAGUGAGAGAAAGUCUGGAAAUAAGCUUUAUCAAGGAUUUUGAAGUGAGAGGAUAAAAGAAUUCAAAGGUUCUAGUUAAAAGGGUUUAAAGGUGUGAAAACUAAAGCUAGAGAGAGAAAAUCAUUCAAGCUUCAAAUCAAGCUUCCAUGGAGUUUUGAAGAAACGUGAGAGAGAAGAAGAAGAAGAAGAAGACCAGCUGUUAGAAAAUCUCUAGAAGCUGUUAGAAAUUCAAGAUAUUUAUAGGCAAUCUUAUCCUUUCCUUUAAAAUUACGAAAAUGCCCUUCCACCAAUUAACUUAUUCUCCUCCAAUCUUUUAUGUAAUCUUUUUGCUCUUUUAACACUGAGACAAGAUCCAUAAUGGUCUAGACAUGUUCGGGUUCAUAAAAACUUAAAAUUUUAACUUGAUGUGAAAAAUAACCAUUUUGCCCCUGUUAUGAAAAUUGUUGAAACUUAUACUUUUCUUUGUGUUUUCAUCAGCACACAUCAUUUAUGUAGUCUUAUACCCAUUUAAGCCUUAAAAUAUCAUAAAACUUUCUUCUGGAAGCUUAUUAGAGAAAAUGACAAAACUACCCUUAGCUCAUAUUAUUACAUCUAUACUUAAUUACAAGCCUAUAGAGGUUGAGGUCUCACAUAAGCCAUGUUGAUUACUCAAUUUAUAUGAAUUGAUUUAGUUUGGUUGAAAUGAGUUGAAAGGUGAUGAAUUACAGUAUGUUAAACUAUUUUAUCUCUCUAUUUACUCAGCUUUAGAUAUUUUAGAUGGUAUUUGUUUACUCAUUGGGAUUAUAUAAUCUCACCACCCUCCUUUCCACCCAUUUCAAGCUCAAGAUAGUCAGUAGAUAGCUCAUUUCAUUGAGGGCUACAGUUGGAUUUGCAUCCUCCAAACUGGAGGUUCAUAGUUUUCCUUACUUUAAGUUAUUCGGGAGCCUACUGGUUAUUGUAAAUUAAAUUAAAUACUCUGACUUACUGUAUUACAGCAUGUAUGAAUUUAUUUUGCUUUUACGUUGCAAAAAAAUUAUUUACGUAUAACUCUAAAAAUAUUAUUUUAUAAGAAAAUAGAAUAUUUUAUUGAAUAUUUUUUUAUUUUUUUAUUAUAUCCAAAUAAUCAUAAUUUCAUUUUAAAUGAAGGUUUUAGAUGUUUAAACUUAUUUUUUAUUAUGAAUUAUGUGUUUUGUUCUUGUAUAUUACAUUUUAACGGAUUUCGAGAUUUUUGAGAAAAAAUGAUCAAAAUGCCCAUGAGAAAAAAAUUAUUUUUUUAUUGUUUCGAUUUGAAAAUAGUUUAUAAUCUCUCAAAACAUAAUUUUAGUGACUAAUACUCACAAGGGAAGCGAGAAAAACUGAUGUUAAGCCUUGACAGGUUUCGAUUGACAUUUCGGGUAAUGAAUGUUUAUCGGGACGUCGCGGAGGUUGUCACAGGCUCGAUGGGAGUUCUGAGUCGUGACACAUACUUAACAUAAUUUGAAAGACAUUACACUCUUAAAUCUAGAGAUCUUUUGUCAUCACAAAAGAAAAGAAGGAGAUUGUUGACUUCAUAUGUUUUUUAUGAUAACAAAACAUUACUCAUUCUUUAGGUCUAACAAUGUUACUUGAGUGUGCAGGGGUAAAAUUGAUAUAUUGUUGUUUGUCUCACACCCUAAAUGCCCUAGGAUAAGUCUCAAGUCCCAAAAAAGUGAUUCAAGCAAGUUAGAAGGCAUUUUGUGAAAUUUAAUCGAUUAACAUUUUAGUUUAAUCAAUCAAUCAAGUCUAAAAGGAAGAUUUUAAAACUUCAGAAAAGACGUUAACUGAUUAACACAAAGAUUAAUCAAUUAAAGUAAUGUUGGAAGGGACAUUGAGACAAACAAAAAGAUUUUAAUAGAUUAACAUAAGGUUUAAUAAAUUAAAAUAUCGAUUAAAGAAGUACUGGAAGAAAUACUAUAACAAAAUUAAUCGAUUCACAAUAGGCUUUAAUCGAUUAAAAUUCAAACAAAAGGUAUUUCAGUAACUUAAAGUGAAAAUUCAAAUUCAAGUUGACCAUUGGAGGGUAUCAAUUGAAGAAAUUUGAAGUCAAGAAGAUUUUAAUUAGUUAAAGAUUAGAUUAAUCGAUUAAAGAGGAAACAAAGAGCUUUUAAUCAAUUAAAGUCAAGUUUAGUUGAUUAACCUAGAGCACAUGGAGACAGAUAGAAUGGUUUUAAUCAGUUAACGCUAAGAUUAAUCGAUUAAAGCAAAGCAUAGGAAGACAGAUAGAAAGUUUUAAUCGAUUAAAAUUUAUUUUAAUCGAUUAAACAGGGCAACUGAUUUGAAUUUAAAUACUACUACAAGAUCAAACAAUAGGCAGAUUCUUCCCAAAUUGUCUUUAACUGCAGAUUUUCACUCUCCAAGUAUAAAAAAUGGUUCAAAUGGUCCUAAAUGAAAGAAAGAACCAUCCAAAAGAAAGGUUGAGCUAAGAAGUAUCCAAAAGUUCUUUUUUCCAGUAUGUUUCACUCUUAUCUUUGUAAAAAAACUUUAAGCUUAACUUUGUAUAUCUUAAAUUAGCUAGGUGAUCAAUUGUACUAUAUCUUUUCUUUAUUCUUUGUUUACUUUGACUGUGAGAGACACCUUAAGAGGUAACUAAGCUUAGGAAAGCUUGGGAAUCUUAUAGGGGUUUUGAGCUUAGGUUAGAAGCUCACUUUUUAAAAGUUUGGUGGAAGUUGUCAAUUCCACUAGUUUAGUGAAAUUGGGUUGAAAAAUCCUUGACUAAGAGAUCAAGGUAGUAGAUGUAGGUCAAGGAGACCAAACCAUAAUAAAUACUUGUGUUUGGUCCACUUCUCUUUACCAUCUCUUUACGUGGUGCCUUUUAGUCUUGACAAGUUUUAAACUCUCCUUUUCAAAAUCAUUCAAAGGCUUUUCAAACUUAAGAAUUUCCUUUAGAAAUAUUUUUUAGUGCUAUUCACCCUUUUCCAGCACUCAAUUAGGACCAACAUACAAUCAACUAACAACAUAUAUCCUAUCAUAAGUUCCUAGCUUCGGACAAAAACCUAUCUUCGAAACUAGUAGAUUUAUCAAAUAACCUUCCUUGAAGUUCUAAUAAAUUUCUAAGCUUCAAACCCAAUCCAUAAAAUAAAUAACAUUAACUUUCCUUACCUUCACAACCUCCUUGAAGAGCAAAACCCCAAAAUUCAUUGCUCAAAAACAAGUUAAAUAAGUUGAAAUUUAGAAAAUCCUAGAGUUAAGUCAUACGCAUGAGAUUUAAACUCAAAACACCAAAUCUUACCUUAUAAUCAAUUUGAAAGGUUAAACCCUUGCUAAAUGGGGUUUGAAGAGGCUGGGAAAGGGUUUCGAUGCUAUUGGGGGCAAGUUGGGGGCUAGAAAAGUGAAAAAUAAAUUUUAAGGCUCAAGCUGGGUUUUAUAUUUUUUCCACGCUCGAGCUUGGGAAUCAACACCUUAACUCCUAGGUGUCGAUUCCUUAUGCUUAUUUUUCUACCCAAACUUGCUAGAAUCAACACCUUGACCUUAAGGUGUCGAUUCUUGAAGGUUCCAAUAACUUAUUUUGAAAUUCUAACUUAUAAGAAUCAACCCUUUAACUAUUGGGGAUCGAUUCUUGAGUUUCCAAAAGCUAUUCUAAGUAUUCCAUCUUCUAAGGAUCAACCCUUCCUUGCUUGGGGUCGAUUCUUGACACUUCCAAAAGCUAUCUAAGGAUCUUGUACACAUUGAGAUUGACCUUUCAAGCUCAGACUUGGAAAAAUCCACGUCUUUCAUUUCCAUUUUCACCCAUUCUUGCAACCAUCAUUCUUCCAUGAAUGUAUUCAACAAUAUAGAGAGAUUGAACAUCAAAUGACAAGAAAUUUUCAGCAGUAAUCAUCACCAAUUAUAAUUCAUAAAAAGUUCAAAUUUUAACAAUCUCCAUAAUAUGAAAAAUUGAGGUUUCACAGUUAUGUUGUUCAUGUUAUGAAGAACAUGCAUUUGAAUAUUUGUUCUUAGAUACCAUAUAGUCAAAUGAUGACUUUAUUGAAUUUUGUGUUAUUUGUUGUUGAAUUUUUUGUUAAGUAUGCAAAUUAUGCAUAUCAUAUUCCAUUCCAUACUUUUAUAGUUCUAGUUUUUCAUAUGAAAAGCCAUCUAACUUUAAGAUAGUACAAAUUAGACUAUUUUAAGAAGUAAAGGAGCUCAAUUUGCUUUUCAUGAUUCUUAUGUUCUAAGUUGAAAAAUACACUUGCAUUAGUCCAAAAUAAUGUUUUCAAAUGGGUUUUGUAUCAAAUUAUAAUAUCACUUUUGGUUAAAAAACAAUUUUAGACCAUCACAUGUGUUUUGAAAAGACAGAAAUAUGCAUUUUAAAGCUACAGGAGUGAAAGCAUUGACACUAUAAGUAUCAAUACUUCAUUCAUCACAUGAAUAAGGCAUUGGUAUCAAUACUUCAUUCAUCACAUGAAUAAGGUAUUGAGACCCUUGGACCAUGUAUCGAUACUUCAUUCAUCAAGUAUUGAGACCUUUAAGCCAUGUGUCGAUAAUUUCCAAAUAGUAGCCCAAAAUAAAAAUUCCUGUCAAAAGUAUCAAUACUUUCCAUAAAAGUAUCGAUACUUUUGAAUGGUCUUCAAAUAUUGUGGCUGUUUUUAUUUCAAACAAAAUGUUCCCUCUUCAAAAUUUUUUUAAUUUUUGUAGUACCCCAUAUUUUGAUAUGGUGGCUAAUAAAGUUUAUGGAUAUCAAUUUAGGUUGAUUACUGAGUUAAAAGGGUAAUUCAGAAGUGAACCUGUGAAAUCUCGAUCUCCAUAGACACAUAACUAGAAGUAGACACGAUAAUGUGGACUAGGGGUAAUUUUGUAAUUUCUCUUAGUAAGCUCCUACGAAUGGGUUUUUUUGAUGCUAUUAAGGUCUAAAUAGGCCUAAGGAAUGAAUAAAUGAUGUUUAUGAUGGUAAAUAAAUGAGGAAGAUAAAAAUAAUGAUAAUUUCCACGGUAGGGGCAAAAUGGUCAUUUUGCAUCUCGAGUCUAAAUUUUUAAGUUUCGUGAACCUGAGUACCUUUAGACUAUUAUGGACUUUGUUUCAGAGUCAAAAGAGCAAAAAAGUUGCACAAAGGAUGGGAGGAAUACAAAACCACCAUGUUAAAGGCAUUUUGGUAAUUUCAGUCGAAAUUUGGAUUAACUUGAAGCAUAAAUAUCUAUGCUCUAGCAGCUUCUCCUUCUUCAUCCCAGCCCUUCUCUUGAUUUCACAUUUUCUUCAUUCUCCAUUGGAGGAAAACCUUGAAUCCUCCAUAAAUCCCUCAUGGAAAGUCCAAAUUUCAUGCUUUUGCCCACUCUUUCAUAGGGUUUUUCAUGCCCUUCAACUUUUACACCUCAACAGCCUCCAAAAGUCUUUGUUCAUCAUUUUCUCUCACUAGUUGGAAGUUUUAGAGAGAGAAAGAGAGACUUGCCAUAGUAGCUUGAAAACUGUUGAAAAAGAGUUCAACUACAAGUCCACAAGGUGAGAAAUGAGUUAGAAUUUGAUUUUAAGAUGUUAGAGAUGGCUAGAAAUUAGAUUUAUGGGUUGUUAUAUUUUUUAUAGUUAUGUUGUGGGUGAUAGGUUCCAACAAGGCCUCACAUGUCUGUUUGAAGCAAUAAUCGAAG
rnacentral:lncRNA from 1 species